AAAUAUUGCAUUAGUUGACUUCUGUUCUGCUACGAUGAAAGCAAGGAAGUUAUUCCUGACAUUAAAUUUUCUUACAAUCUAUUUGGUAAGCGCCAGAGCACAAGAUGAAGGUGUUUUGUCAUUAACUAUUCAAGCUAAUGUAAGUCAAAACGUAAUAACUAGCUCACAUAUUGUGUAUUUGGCCCAUGGAGAACAAAGAAUAGAAUAUUGUUAUCAGAACAACACGAGAGAAGCAACAAUUUUGACCUGUGGUGCAAGUGUUUCAAACAUUAGCAAUUCUUUGAUUCCGCAGACAGUAACUGUUUUCAUAAGUUACUCUAACCAAAGCGUAGAAUGUUCCAAUAAAAGUCCGAAUUCUCAAAACGGGAAAGACGAUGAGAGCCUAAUUAAACGUCAUGGAAUGUGUGGAGCUGGAACCAUAGCAAUUCGGGUGAUUCUUCUCGUCGCUUUAAUUAUAAUUUGCAUCUUAGCUGUUGUUGUCACCAUCAAAGGAUGUAUAGAUAAAUCACGCCACUCAAGAGAGCCACAAUUAUACUGGACUCAAAACGCAUGAACUGCUGUCUGAAUCUUCGAACUUGAACAAACCUUAAGCAAUAAUCAUUCCUCUCCUGCCUCUUGAAGU